UCUGCUCUAGCUGGAGAAGAGUCCUGCAGGGAUCCUGGCUGGGGAAGGUGCAGGGGGCCUGGGAGACCGCCUCUCCCAGGCAGUGACACCCUCACCCUUCAGUCUUCCCCACCCACCCUCCCCUGCAGAGGGUGGCAGCCCCAGGCUCUUUGCAUAAUCCUGUGGCUUCGCUGUCUUCACCCAGCACCAGCGGACAGGGAAGGGCAGAGAAGGCCGCCAUGGCGACACUCCUCUCCCAUCUGCAGCAGCGCCCUCCCCUCUUGCGCCAGGCCAUCAAGAUAAGGCGUCGCAGAGUCAAAGAUCUGCAGGAUCCUCUGCCCCAAACGGCCCCGGAGAUCCAGCCUCCGUCCCACCACUUCUCCCCGGAGCAGGUGACCCUGUGUGUCUCAGCGGGCCCUGCUCUAUGAGGAAGCGCUCUACACGGUCCUGCACCGCCUGGGUCAGCCUGAGCCCAACCAUGUGACGGAGGCCUCUGAGCUGCUGCGAUACCU
rnacentral:lncRNA from 1 species